rnacentral:rRNA from 1 species
AGCAGCCGCGGUAAUUCCAGCUCCAAUAGCGUAUAUUAAAGUUGUUGCAGUUAAAAAGCUCGUAGUUGAAUUUCGGGGUCAAUAAGUUGGUCAUGCCAAUGGUAUGCACUGGCUUUAUUGAUUCCUACCUCUUGACGAACUGUGAUGCCAUUAAUUUGGUGUUGCAAGGAAUCAGGACUAUUACCUUGAAAAAAUUAGAGUGUUUAAAGCAAGCUUACGCUUGAAUACAUUAGCAUGGAAUAAUGAAAUAGGACGUUUGAUCCUAUUUUGUUGGUUUCUAGGAUCGACGUAAUGAUUAAUAGGGAUAGUUGGGGGCAUUAGUAUUCAAUUGUCAGAGGUGAAAUUCUUGGAUUUAUUGAAGACUAACUACUGCGAAAGCAUUUGCCAAGGAUGUUUUCAUUAAUCAAGAACGAAAGUUAGGGGAUCGAAGACGAUCAGAUACCGUCGUAGUCUUAACCAUAAACUAUGCCGACUAGGGAUCGGAUGAUGUUAAUUUUUAAUGACUCUACG